rnacentral:lncRNA from 1 species
CCUGCAGGAUGACGUGACUUUCUCAAGAUGAAUGACUGAAGCCACAUCACAAACUGCAGAGCAUCUGUAGCUGAAGAUGAUGGUCAACACAUAAAGAGCGGUAGGUGAAUAUGGAAGGAGACAGCCAUCACUUCUAUGGCAGUCAUCCAGAUAGGCCAAGGAGUCACAGGGCGGAUGGGGACUGCCUAGGCUCUCCCUGGCCAAACACCAGGGCAUUGGUCAGGUUUUUCAUCCUCCAGUGAACACCUUAGAAUUGGUUGGUAGAAGGUCUGUAAAAGAAUACAGUUCAGACUGAGCUAAGAAGACAAUAACUUAAAAGAAUCCUCAGGGCUGGGCAGAUAACUCAGUUGAUGAAGUACUUGCUCUGCAGGCACAAGAACCCAUGUCUGAAUCGCCAGAACCCACGUGAAAAAACAAAACAGCAGCAGCAAACAACAACAACAAAACAACCAACCAAACUAAAAACCCAGGUGAUGUGGCACUCCCAAUAUCGGUGAAGCAGGGGUAAGAGGAUCCAGGAAGCUUCGUGGCCAGUCAGUAUUACUGACUCAUCGAGCUCCAGGUUCAUCGUGAGACACGGUCUCAAAGAAUAAGGCUGAGUGUGAAGAUCCGCCUUGCCACUUAGCAGUGUGUGAACUUGCUAAGCACCCCUGCCACCCUCCCAGAUCAUAUGCACAGCGCUGAUAGGAAAAUGCACUUCAGAGGGUUGUGAAGAGAACCAGAUCCACUACCUCUGCAGGCAGAGGGUUGAGCAACUGGAAUGUUCUCCAGGCUCCACCCAAUGCCAAGGGUCUAGCCAACAGACUGAGUUCCAGCUUCGCAACAGCAUCCUGACCAAAACCAGGUUUGUGUGGUCACCCUAUCCCAGCUCCUUCAGUCUCCAGGCAAACACUGCAGCACCUUUUUGCUUUGAGAACCGUGUCCUUCAUCUUGAAAAACCAAAGGCUGAGCUGGCACCACCGAGAGGCACUAGUAGAGUUAAUUAUCUGAGCCACAAAGAUCCAGAGGGAUAAAUGACAUCCAUCAUUUCCUGGGGCUUCUCCUCUCGGCCAGCAUGCCUGCUGUUUGCAAUGACAGGACAAGGCUGGAGCAAAGGGUUCAUGGUGGUGCGCUGAACCCUGGAUUUUUCUCAAAGAUGCAUUACAAAGGAUUUUUUUUUUUUUUUAAAAAUGAGACUCUGAACAACUUUCAGUUUUUGAGUGUACAAGGAAGGAAGGAAUAACAAUGGGCUGAAGCCACAGCCAGGCUUUUUUUUUUUUUUUUUUUUUUGGUAAUACAGGGAGGCAUGCGUGUGACCUCUGCAUUCAAUCAGAAACCGCGCCUGAGAGCACAGAGCCUUCUCAACAGGCAACGGCGGGGCUCCUUUUAAUGCUUCCGGUGUGACGCUCAUUAGAACUUUGAAGCACGUCUGUCUCACUUAUUUCUACAAGGCCUGGGACACUGGAAGCUGCCAGGACUUCAUUCAUCAUCUUGCCUGUUGACAAAAGGAACAAUAACGUCAUCACUGAGCACAGCCUGGUCUGCCCAUGUCAACCUUUGCUGAUGGAUAGGCUUACAACUCAACCCAUGCGUGCUAUCUUUGCAUUGAGAAGGAGCUGUAUAUGCAUUCCUUACCAGAGCUGCCGCCAGCCAGCAAAGGUUCGGACCAGAAACCCAUACUGCCUCUAUCCUCUGCUUUCCACCAAAGAUGAGAGCAUGCAAUUAAGAAGCCAGGAGGAAAGAAAAACAGUAUUCGAGAAGUUUGCUCCAGCACCAAAGAUCCUGGGUCA